rnacentral:rRNA from 1 species
UGAAGGAAUUCGGCAAAUUAGUUCUCUGCCUGUUUAUUAAAAACAUGGCCUUUUGAUUAUAAUUUAAGGUCUGGCCUGCCCAAUGAUGGAUUUAAUGGCCGCGGUACUCUGACCGUGCAAAGGUAGCAUAAUCAUUAGUUUUUUAAUUGAAAGCUGGAAUGAACGGUCGGACAAGGGAAAUGCUGUCUUUAUUUAAUUGGUAGAAUUUUAUUUUUUAGUUAGAAAGCUUAAAUGAGUUUGAGGGACGAGAAGACCCUAUAGAAUUUUAUAAGUUAUUUUUUAGGUUUAUUUUAGGAUUGGUUGAGUUUAUCAGAGAAGUACUUAUUUUGUUGGGGUGAUGGAAAAAUUUAAAGAACUUUUUUUAUUUAGUUGCACUGAUUUGUGUGUCAUUGAUCCACAGAUUGUGAUUACAAGAUUAAAUUACCUUAGGGAUAACAGCGUUAUUAGUUUGGAGAGUUCAUAUCGAUAGACUAGUUUGCGACCUCGAUGUUGGAUUAAAAUAAACUUAUGGUGUAGGGGCUAUAGAGUUAAGUCUGUUCGACUUUUAAAAUUUUACAUGAUCUGAGUUUAAACCGGCGUGAGCCAGGUUGGUUUCUAUCUUU